GUCAGGUCAACAACAGAGCACCAUGGAAAUCUAUGUUUUUACUUAGUAGGCAUAACUCAUGGCCAUUAACACAGCACAGAGACCCUUAUUUACAAAAUACUAGUACUAAAGUUUCGAUCACAGCAAGCAUUAGCAAACACAUGACAUGACUCCAGCUUUUCUAACUUAUGGGUCUAGAUAAACGAUUUCAGCCAGCACAGAUGCCCUCCUGAAACGCAGCAGUUCCUUCAUCAAGUCCCAUC
rnacentral:lncRNA from 1 species